rnacentral:tRNA from 2 species
GCCCGCAUAGCUCAGUCGGUAGAGCAUCAGACUUUUAAUCUGAGGGUCGUGGGUUCGAGUCCCCCUGUGGGCG